CUUUGUUUUAAUUGGCGAACAAUUAAAAAUGGCGUCUGCCGUGAAAAGGUAGGCUACGUGUUUUGACGAACGGGAGAUGUGAUGGGAAAAUGAGGAGUUUUCUCUGUGAUCAGUCGGAUACAGUGAAUAUUUAAUGGAUUCUUUAAGAAGGUCGCAGCCAAUGAACACCUCAGACGGCUGUGGCUCAUGCAGGCCGUAGCGAGUGCCAGGUUGAGAGAUUGAGGCCGAAGUUGACGGUGCCUGUGCUCUUGGUACAAUGUGGAACUGAGGCAAAGAGGAGGCAUGUGACACAACCUAAACCCGGAGAACUCCUGAGUUUAAUCGCUCCACGUGGCUUAAACAAGCAACUCGAGGCGUGCAGGUGAUUAAGGACACAAGAGCUGAUCAAACAUCCAAAUUUGCUCAUAUUUAUGGAGUAGCAAUGACUCUAUCCUUCACUUUCAUUGUCUGAAAACUGGGUGGAGGUUUGUGUAUGAUGCUCACCGUCCCAAAAAAAAUGUAUUUCCCUCUCUGCUUCUCUUUCAUUGUUUCUUUCGUGAUUUCCCUUUCUCCCUCCGGUUGUCUUCCCUAAAUGAAUACUCAUUGAGUGUUACUGUGUCUUGGUCUCCCUCCUCCUGUCCUGGCUGAAUAGAAGACUGAAUUGAGCAAACAGUCAGCCUGUCAGCUCAAUAGGCAGUCUGACCAUGAACUCCGAGUCCUUCCCAGGCACCCAGCAUCAUCAUCAAGAGGGGGAGAAAGAGAGACAUGGGGGGGGGGCAGACAGUCUCAGACUUUGGGGGCCCCCGGUGCCCAUUUUUUGGGGGAGCCUCGUCGUGGUGGUUCCCAAGGCUUGUGCCUGCAUGGAAAGGCAAGAGCAGCUGCUCAGAAGAGGAGAGCCUUGUGUUUAUGGGUGUGUGUGUGUGUGUGUGUGUGUGUGUGUGUGCAGACGGGUGUCUGCCCCUUUGCCCAAACCCCAGCCACCUCGCACGCUCCCAGACGCAAGCUGCUGCAGAUUCUUUGCUCCUUUUUAUCUGAUGUGCUUUGGCUUUGUUUUUACUGUGCAUAAUUUACUGUGCCGUUCCCUCUCAGCCACUCUUCCCCCGGUUUGCCACCUGUUUACUGCGGCGCACUUAGAUUACUGAAAACAAUGGCGUGAUUGUAGACCCAGUGUGACUGCAAUCUUGUAAUUCUGUGCUACCUGCAUUAAGAGUUUUAUCACCCAUGCACAAUUUAAUCCUAAUGAUUCAAAGGUAAUUUUUAAUGUGAUAAAAAGUAAAUAGUUUCAUUGUUGCAGUCAUUUAGCGAUGAGGCAGUUAAUGUGCAAUCACGUUUGUGGGGAAAACUCUUUGUGUUACUGUCCUGCAAGUUUUGCAAGAUUUGCUUACAUUGACAUUCUUUUCUAGUGGUUGCGCUAGUUAUGCACUACUGUUUGGGGUCAGAAUUAUUUUUUUUUUCAAGAUAUGAAUACUUUUAUUUAGCAAGAAUUCAUUACAUUUAUCAAAAGUGACAGGAAGGAUUUUUUUAUAGUAUUACAAAAGAGUUCUAAUUCACUGCUGUUCUUUUGAAUUUUUUUUUCUCAUCAAAGAAUCCUGAACAAUAUGUAACACAAUUACCACAAGAAUAUGCAGUGUCACAACUGUUUCCAACAG